GUGUGUUAGUGGAAGCGUCUGGAAAGGCGCGCGAUACAGGGUGACAGCCCCGUACACAAAAAUGCACAUACUGUGAGCUCGAUGAGUAGGGCGGGACACGUGGUAUCCUGUCUGAAUAUGGGGGGACCAUCCUCCAAGGCUAAAUACUCCUGACUGACCGAUAGUGAACCAGUACCGUGAGGGAAAGGCGAAAAGAACCCCGGCGAGGGGAGUGAAAAAGAACCUGAAACCGUGUACGUACAAGCAGUGGGAGCCUCUUUUAUGGGGUGACUGCGUACCUUUUGUAUAAUGGGUCAGCGACUUAUAUUCUGUAGCAAGGUUAACCGAAUAGGGGAGCCGAAGGGAAACCGAGUCUUAACUGGGCGUUAAGUUGCAGGGUAUAGACCCGAAACCCGGUGAUCUAGCCAUGGGCAGGUUGAAGGUUGGGUAACACUAACUGGAGGACCGAACCGACUAAUGUUGAAAAAUUAGCGGAUGACUUGUGGCUGGGGGUGAAAGGCCAAUCAAACCGGGAGAUAGCUGGUUCUCCCCGAAAGCUAUUUAGGUAGCGCCUCGUGAAUUCAUCUCCGGGGGUAGAGCACUGUUUCGGCAAGGGGGUCAUCCCGACUUACCAACCCGAUGCAAACUGCGAAUACCGGAGAAUGUUAUCACGGGAGACACACGGCGGGUGCUAACGUCCGUCGUGAAGAGGGAAACAACCCAGACCGCCAGCUAAGGUCCCAAAGUCAUGGUUAAGUGGGAAACGAUGUGGGAAGGCCCAGACAGCCAGGAUGUUGGCUUAGAAGCAGCCAUCAUUUAAAGAAAGCGUAAUAGCUCACUGGUCGAGUCGGCCUGCGCGGAAGAUGUAACGGGGCUAAACCAUGCACCGAAGCUGCGGCAGCGACACUAUGUGUUGUUGGGUAGGGGAGCGUUCUGUAAGCCUGUGAAGGUGUGCUGUGAGGCAUGCUGGAGGUAUCAGAAGUGCGAAUGCUGACAUAAGUAACGAUAAAGCGGGUGAAAAGCCCGCUCGCCGGAAGACCAAGGGUUCCUGUCCAACGUUAAUCGGGGCAGGGUGAGUCGACCCCUAAGGCGAGGCCGAAAGGCGUAGUCGAUGGGAAACAGGUUAAUAUUCCUGUACUUGGUGUUACUGCGAAGGGGGGACGGAGAAGGCUAUGUUGGCCGGGCGACGGUUGUCCCGGUUUAAGCGUGUAGGCUGGUUUUCCAGGCAAAUCCGGAAAAUCAAGGCUGAGGCGUGAUGACGAGGCACUACGGUGCUGAAGCAACAAAUGCCCUGCUUCCAGGAAAAGCCUCUAAGCAUCAGGUAACAUUAAAUCGUACCCCAAACCGACACAGGUGGUCAGGUAGAGAAUACCAAGGCGCUUGAGAGAACUCGGGUGAAGGAACUAGGCAAAAUGGUGCCGUAACUUCGGGAGAAGGCACGCUGAUAUGUAGGUGAAGUCCCUCGCGGAUGGAGCUGAAAUCAGUCGAAGAUACCAGCUGGCUGCAACUGUUUAUUAAAAACACAGCACUGUGCAAACACGAAAGUGGACGUAUACGGUGUGACGCCUGCCCGGUGCCGGAAGGUUAAUUGAUGGGGUUAGCGGUAACGCGAAGCUCUUGAUCGAAGCCCCGGUAAACGGCGGCCGUAACUAUAACGGUCCUAAGGUAGCGAAAUUCCUUGUCGGGUAAGUUCCGACCUGCACGAAUGGCGUAAUGAUGGCCAGGCUGUCUCCACCCGAGACUCAGUGAAAUUGAACUCGCUGUGAAGAUGCAGUGUACCCGCGGCAAGACGGAAAGACCCCGUGAACCUUUACUAUAGCUUGACACUGAACAUUGAGCCUUGAUGUGUAGGAUAGGUGGGAGGCUUUGAAGUGUGGACGCCAGUCUGCAUGGAGCCGACCUUGAAAUACCACCCUUUAAUGUUUGAUGUUCUAACGUUGACCCGUGAUCCGGGUUGCGGACAGUGUCUGGUGGGUAGUUUGACUGGGGCGGUCUCCUCCUAAAGAGUAACGGAGGAGCACGAAGGUUGGCUAAUCCUGGUCGGACAUCAGGAGGUUAGUGCAAUGGCAUAAGCCAGCUUGACUGCGAGCGUGACGGCGCGAGCAGGUGCGAAAGCAGGUCAUAGUGAUCCGGUGGUUCUGAAUGGAAGGGCCAUCGCUCAACGGAUAAAAGGUACUCCGGGGAUAACAGGCUGAUACCGCCCAAGAGUUCAUAUCGACGGCGGUGUUUGGCACCUCGAUGUCGGCUCAUCACAUCCUGGGGCUGAAGUAGGUCCCAAGGGUAUGGCUGUUCGCCAUUUAAAGUGGUACGCGAGCUGGGUUUAGAACGUCGUGAGACAGUUCGGUCCCUAUCUGCCGUGGGCGCUGGAGAACUGAGGGGGGCUGCUCCUAGUACGAGAGGACCGGAGUGGACGCAUCACUGGUGUUCGGGUUGUCAUGCCAAUGGCACUGCCCGGUAGCUAAAUGCGGAAGAGAUAAGUGCUGAAAGCAUCUAAGCACGAAACUUGCCCCGAGAUGAGUUCUCCCUGACUCCUUGAGAGUCCUGAAGGAACGUUGAAGACGACGACGUUGAUAGGCCGGGUGUGUAAGCGC
rnacentral:rRNA from 1 species